rnacentral:rRNA from 1 species
AGUGACGAUAGCCUAGGGGAUACACCUGUUUCCAUGCCGAACACAGCCGUUAAGCCCUAGCGCGCCUGAAGUAGUGGGAGGCUGCCUCCUGUGAGAUAGGGGCGUUGCUUAGCC